GAUGAACGCUAGCGGCAGGCCUAACACAUGCAAGUCGAGGGGUAGAGGAAGCUUGCUUCCUUGAGACCGGCGCACGGGUGCGUAACGCGUAUGCACUCUCCCUUGUACAGGGGGAUAGCCCAGAGAAAUUUGGAUUAAUACCUCAUCGUGAUCAAGAGUGGCAUCCUUUUUUUACUAAAGUUCCAACGGGACAAGACGAGCAUGCGUCCCAUUAGCUAGUUGGUGUUGUAACGGCAUACAAAGGCAGUGAUGGGUAGGGGUCCUGAGAGAGAGGCCCCCCACACUGGUACUGAGACAAGGACCAGACUCCAACGGGAGGCAUCAUUGAGGAAUAUUGGGAAAGGGAGCCAACUCUGACCCAGCCAUGCCGCGUGCAGGAAGACGGUCCUAUGGAUUGUAAACUGCUUUUGUACGAGAAGAAACACUCCUUCGUGAAGGAGCUUUACGUUAUCGUAAUAAUAAGGAUCGACUGACUCCGUGCCAGCAGCCGCCGUAACAC
rnacentral:rRNA from 1 species